rnacentral:misc_RNA from 1 species
ACGAAUAACUAUGGUGGGCUGUCGCUGCCUCUUCGGAGGAAUGUGCACGUCCACCAUUUUUAUCUAUCCACCUGUGCACCGACUGUAGGUCUGGAUCACUCUCUUCUUCACCUCGCAAGGGGCUGUUGACGGAUGCGAGGAUUGCUCUCUCGGGCGCUCUCCUCGAAUUUCCAGGUCUACGUCUUUUACACACCCCAAAAGUAUGAUAUAGAAUGUAGUCAAUGGGCUUCUCAGCCUAUAAAACACUAUA